UGGGGAAUAUUGCACAAUGGGCGCAAGCCUGAUGCAGCCAUGCCGCGUGUAUGAAGAAGGCCUUCGGGUUGUAAAGUACUUUCAGCGGGGAGGAAGGGAGUAAAGUUAAUACCUUUGCUCAUUGACGUUACCCGCAGAAGAAGCACCGGCUAACUCCGUGCCAGCAGCCGCGGUAAUACGGAGGGUGCAAGCGUUAAUCGGAAUUACUGGGCGUAAAGCGCACGCAGGCGGUUUGUUAAGACAGAUGUGAAAUCCUCGGGCUCAACCUGGGAACUGCAUCUGAUACUGGCAAGCUUGAGUCUCGUAGAGGGGGGUAGAAUUCCAGGUGUAGCGGUGAAAUGCGUAGAGAUCUGGAGGAAUACCGGUGGCGAAGGCGGCCCCCUGGACGAAGACUGACGCUCAGGUGCGAAAGCGUGGGGAGCAAACAGG
rnacentral:rRNA from 1 species